GAUGAACGCUAGCGGCAGGCCUAAUACAUGCAAGUCGAACGGUGUCUUCGGACAUAGUGGCGCACGGGUGCGUAACACGUAUGCAACCUACCUUACAUUGGGGGAUAGCCUUUCGAAAGGGAGAUUAAUACCGCAUAAGACAGUAACUAGGCAUCUAGUAGCUGUUAAAGAUUUAUCGAUGUAAGCUGGGCAUGCGUCCAAUUAGCUAGUUGGUGAGGUAACGGCUCACCAAGGCAAUGAUUGGUAGGGGAACUGAGAGGUCAAUCCCCCACACUGGCACUGAGAUACGGGCCAGACUCCUACGGGAGGCAGCAGUAGGGAAUAUUGGGCAAUGGACGCAAGUCUGACCCAGCCAUGCCGCGUGCAGGAUGAAGGCGUUAUGCGUUGUAAACUGCUUUUAUACAGGAAGAAACGACUCUUGCGAGAGGCAUUGACGGUACUGUAUGAAUAAGCACCGGCUAACUCCGUG
rnacentral:rRNA from 1 species